GAUAUCCUCCUAAUGCUUAACUGCGAUAAGAGAAGCAAGAAACACUUUGUGGUAUCUGUGUCAAGUACAUAUAAUCUCAACCUAAAAGAGGAAAACUACUGGGCAAAUCCAAAUUCAGAGACAUUCUUGCAAGUUGUACAUAUGCUUGUUCACAUGUGCAACACAUGCAUGCCUACUGUCCAGGAGGUUGAAGAAGGUGUGAGGUUCCGUGAUGCUGAAAUUACAGCCACUUGUGAGCUGUCAACGGGUUCUCUGGAAGAACAGGUGAAGAAUGGAGUAUCCACAAAUGACAAUACCAAAUAUACUCCCUCCUGUUCUUAUGAGCCUAUUGAGGUUGAGGUUUUACUGGAACUCAAGCCAUUCUUCUCCCUUCUCAUCAUCCUGUAUCUAUUGUUUGGCUUGAAGAAAGUAUCAUUGUAAAACAUCCAAAAGCCUGAAGUCUCACCCUUGGAACACAGGAAGCAAAACUCUCAAAUAUCAUCCUGGGUGACGAUGUAGAUUAGACCCAUCAGAUGAAAUGAAGAAUUGAAAAACUCUCCUGGGGAUGAAAAUGAACCAGAAUUUUGCCACAGAUAUACAUACGGAGUGCGAGCCACUGUUCAGUGCAUUCCUGCUUGGCUUUAUUUCAUUCAGUGCCUGUGCUGGUACUGUGACACAAGAAGAGCCUUUUCUCAUCCAGUACAUGCUGCCUGGCAAAUACUCUACGACUUUCUUCAUCGUGACAUUUCCAGCCCUUUACAGCACCCACAAAGAACAAAGUCACUCUGACACCAUGGUGUUCUUUUACCUGUGGUCAUCCUUUGCAUCAUCAGCUCCUGCUAUAUCCUCAUCUGGGAUCUCAAGAUGGACUGGGGUUUCUUUGAUAAGAAUGCAGGAGAUAACAAUUUCCUCUGUCAAGAAAUUUUAUACCCCCAAAAAGCAUGUGUGGAACAUUUACACUUAUCUUAGAUAUAUCUUUAGAUAGGUCAUACAGCAGUACUGACACAGGUCUAGUUAACUAAUAUGAUUACAAAACAAUUAUCCCAGAUACCAAUAUAGUCCACAAAACACCGUAUCUGUUUUUUUUUGUGUAGUAGAGCCAGUGGGACAUUUGUUAGAAUUGAGUGCCAACCCAAUCAAAGUGGGAGAAAAAAUAUAUAUGUCAUAUAUUGUAUAUAAUAUAUUUUAUAUUAUAUUAUAUUAUUUAUGAUUUUACUGGCAUAUUAGAGUUACAGGGCUAAGAAAUGCUGAAUUUUAAAUUAAAAGAACAAGAAUCCUUACACAGAUGAUUUAGUAAAGGUAAAUGUGAUUAGAUAUUGAAAACAUUGAGCCAUGAACUGGGAAUCUAGCUGUCCUUAUCCAAUCGCAGCUGUACACCAACUAGGCCAUUCAGACAGCGAAGUCUGCAGAAGAUUAUCAAAGUAAGAGUGUUAGACUUCAUUAAUUCUUGAUAAUUUUAUUGGCCUAAUGUUCUGCUGUGGAUAGCAUAGAGAUUGAGUUAACAAUUUUUAAGGAUUUAUAUAUUAUUUCAUGCAUAUGACUACCCUGUAGCUGUCUUCAGACACACCAGAAGAGGGCAUCAGAUUCCAUAACAGAUGGUUGUGAGCCACCAUGUGGUUGCUGGGAUUUGAUCUCAGGACAUCUUGAGAGUGUUUUUAACUGCUGAACCAUCUUUCUAAGCCUGAGUUAAUGUAUUGACCUAUAUCAAAAUGUCACCAUUAUGUCAAAUUUGUGUUUUGAAAAGAAUGUGAUUGUGGGGUCCUGGGCAGAGAAAGUUGCCUGUGAAGACUGGAGCAGCAUACGUAAGCAAAUGCUGUGUGUAUCAGGGCCUCGGGUGAGCCCUUGCAGGGAAGCAGUCAUCCUCACAUGAGAAUUUAGGAAACAUCACUGAGCAUUGAACCUACUUUUUUAUAAUUCUCAACUAAAGGGAAACAAGGGGCAGGGCCAGGUGUCAGCAUGCAGGCACAAGCAGGCACAGGAUGCAGAUUUCAGUCCCUAGUACCGUUUUAAAGAAAGAAAGAAAGCAGGGACAGGUAAAGCUGCUUCAUUAUCACCA